CCGGCUUACCAACCCGAUGCAAACUGCGAAUACCGGAGAAUGUUAUCACGGGAGACACACGGCGGGUGCUAACGUCCGUCGUGAAGAGGGAAACAACCCAGACCGCCAGCUAAGGUCCCAAAGUCAUGGUUAAGUGGGAAACGAUGUGGGAAGGCCCAGACAGCCAGGAUGUUGGCUUAGAAGCAGCCAUCAUUUAAAGAAAGCGUAAUAGCUCACUGGUCGAGUCGGCCUGCGCGGAAGAUGUAACGGGGCUAAACCAUGCACCGAAGCUGCGGCAGCGACACUGUGUGUUGUUGGGUAGGGGAGCGUUCUGUAAGCCUGUGAAGGUGUGUCGUGAGGCAUGCUGGAGGUAUCAGAAGUGCGAAUGCUGACAUAAGUAACGAUAAAGCGGGUGAAAAGCCCGCUCGCCGGAAGACCAAGGGUUCCUGUCCAACGUUAAUCGGGGCAGGGUGAGUCGACCCCUAAGGCGAGGCCGAAAGGCGUAGUCGAUGGGAAACGGGUUAAUAUUCCCGUACUUGGUGUUACUGCGAAGGGGGGACGGAGAAGGCUAUGUUGGCCGGGCGACGGUUGUCCCGGUU
rnacentral:rRNA from 1 species